GAGCGUAAACUCCUUUUAUCAGGAAAGAAUAAUGACGGUACCUGAUGAAUAAGCACCGGCUAACUCCGUGCCAGCAGCCGCGGUAAUACGGGGGGUUGCAAGCGUUACUCGGAAUCACUGGGCGUAAAGGACGCGUAGGCGGAUUAUCAAGUCUUUUGUGAAAUCUAGUGGCUUAACCACUAAACUGCUUAGGAAACUGAUAGUCUAGAGUAGGGGAGAGGUAGAUGGAAUUCUUGGUGUAGGGGUAAAAUCCGUAGAGAUCAAGAAGAAUACCCAUUGCGAAAGCGAUCUGCUGGAACCUAACUGACGCUGAGGCGUGAAAGCGUGGGUAGCAAACAGGAUUAGAUACCCUGGUAGUCCACGCCCUAAACGAUGUAUACUAGUUGUUGCUUUGCUAGUCAAGGCAGUAAUGCAGCUAACGCAUUAAGUAUACCGCCUGGGGAGUACGGUCGCAAGAUUAAAACUCAAAGGAAUAGACGGGGACCCGCACAAGCGGUGGAGCAUGUGGUUUAAUUCAAAGAUACGCGAAGAACCUUACCUGSACUUGACAUCCUAAAAACAUCUAGGAGAUUAGAAAGUGCUAGUUUACUAGAAUUUAGUGACAGGUGCUGCACGGCUGUCGUCAGCUCGUGUCGUGAGAUGUUGGGUUAAGUCCCGCAACGAGCGCAACCCACGUGUUUAGUUGCUAACAGCUCGGCUGAGCACUCUAAACAGACUGCCUUCGUAAGGAGGAGGAAGGUGUGGACGACGUCAAGUCAUCAUGGCCCUUAUGU
rnacentral:rRNA from 1 species